rnacentral:rRNA from 1 species
UUCUUUAUCACCGAGUGCUUGCACUCACCGAUAAAGAGUUGAGUGGCGAACGGGUGAGUAACACGUGGGCAACAUGCCCAAAAGAGGGGGAUAACACUUGGAAACAGGUGCUAAUACCGCAUAACCAUAGUUACCGCAUGGUAACUAUGUAAAAGGUGGCUAUGCUACCGCUUUUGGAUGGGCCCGCGACGCAUUAGCUAGUUGGUGGGGUAAAGGCUUACCAAGGCAAUGAUGCGUAGCCGAACUGAGAGGUUGAUCGGCCACAUUGGGACUGAGACACGGCCCAAACUCCUACGGGAGGCAGCAGUAGGGAAUCUUCCACAAUGGGCGAAAGCCUGAUGGAGCAACGCCGCGUGGGUGAAGAAGGUCUUCGGAUCGUAAAACCCUGUUGUUAGAGAAGAAAGUGCGUGAGAGUAACUGUUCACGUUUCGACGGUAUCUAACCAGAAAGCCACGGCUAACUACGUGCCAGCAGCCGCGGUAAUACGUAGGUGGCAAGCGUUAUCCGGAUUUAUUGGGCGUAAAGAGAACGCAGGCGGUCUUUUAAGUCUGAUGUGAAAGCCUUCGGCUUAACCGGAGUAGUGCAUUGGAAACUGGGAGACUUGAGUGCAGAAGAGGAGAGUGGAACUCCAUGUGUAGCGGUGAAAUGCGUAGAUAUAUGGAAGAACACCAGUGGCGAAAGCGGCUCUCUGGUCUGUAACUGACGCUGAGGUUCGAAAGCGUGGGUA